AUUGAACGCUGGCGGCAGGCCUAACACAUGCAAGUCGAGCGAGCGGCGGACGGGUGAGUAAUGUCUGGGAAAAUGCCUGAUGGAGGGGGAUAACUAUUGGAAACGGUAGCUAAUACCGCAUACAAUCAGAGGUGCCCAGAUGGGAUGAGCUAGUAGGUGGGGUAACGGCUCACCUAGGCGACGAUCCCUAGCUGGUCUGAGAGGAUGACCAGCCACACUGGAACUGAGACACGGUCCAGACUCCUACGGGAGGCAGCAGUGGGGAAUAUUGCACAAUGGGCGCAAGCCUGAUGCAGCCAUGCCGCGUGUAUGAAGAAGGCCUUCGGGUUGUAAAGCACUUUCAGCGGGGAGGCGUUACCCGCAGAAGAAGCACCGGCUAACUCCGUGCCAGCAGCCGCGGUAAUUC
rnacentral:rRNA from 1 species